rnacentral:rRNA from 1 species
GUGCCAGCAGCCGCGGUAAUACGUAGGCAGCAAACGUUGUUCGGAAUUACUGGGCGUAAAGAGUGUGUAGGCGGUCUCGCAAGUUUGGUGUGAAAUCUCCCGGCUUAACUGGGAGGGUGCGCCGAAAACUGCAAGGCUUGAGUACUGGAGAGGAGAGCGGAAUUCCUGGUGUAGCGGUGAAAUGCGUAGAUAUCAGGAGGAACACCGGUGGUGUAGACGGCUCUCUGGACAGUCACUGACGCUGAGACACGAAAGCGUGGGGAGCAAACAGGAUUAGAUACCCGUGUAGUCC